UCUAGAUGAGAGGGGACAUCAUUGGGUGGAGGGACAGGUGGCUAACUCAACAAAACGUAAAGACAACAUACAACAACACCAUCACAGGGGACAUAAGGACAUCACCGCAACAUCUACACAGGCUAUAUCUAAACGGACUUCUAAAACACUGGAUUGUUUUGCUUUGGACCAUUUUACUGUUUUGAUCAAACAGGAUUUUAUCAAGGAAACAGCCAAACCCACUCUCAGCUCUCUUCAAACAUCCUCUUGUUCUUUUUGCUACCUUUCCUACUGUACUUACGUUCAGUUGUGCUUCAUUUACAAUACAAUUUAGGAUCAGGGUUCUCUAAUUUGUCCAAAAUAAUCUCAGAAGGAUUGACAGCUCUCAAUCACAAUUUUAACUCUUCCCCACUUUCUCUGACUAACUCUCUCCCUCAUCGCUCUCCUCUCCUCUCCUCAGUCUUGGCCUAACCAGCAGGAUCAGCUGACACUGGAGGAUUCCUCCCUGGCCACGGCCAUGUGAAGUGAACACUGUCUGUCUGAUGGUGCGUUUCAGAUUCUCUACUGGGUGUGUGUGCACCUGGAGGAUCCCUCCCAUAGGGGAGAUGAGCUCAGCCAGGGGAGGAGAUGCAAGCCCUGUGUCUAUGCGCCAUGCAAUAUCAUGGGAGGAGAGUAUUAGUUGACUUAUCUGCUCUGACAGAGAGAUUACAAACGUUAUGACCAAAAUAAUGUGUCACAUCAGGCAAUAUCGAUAGCUGGAAGGGUGUGCCUCACAUCUCAGUGUAGUGAAUGUGAAGGGAAUGAGGAACCAGGCAGGGUGUCUCAUGUCCAGUGUAUGUGCAUUUGGAGGAGUUAAAAAAUAGAGGUGCUGGGCUGGGAAGAACUGAAGGCAUAAUUCAUAAUAAUGAACAUGAUGAGGGGAUGUGAUAUGAAGGGUAUAGUAUGUCACAGACAGUAGAUAUGGUAAUAGGAGAGGAAAUAGGUGGGGAAAGGUUCAAGUGAUAUCUGAACUUGUAUAAUAGUGUAUAUAUACACUGUAAUGUUAAGUGUUUGGUCCUGCUGGUAACGUUCACAUUGCAAUGCCAAUGAACCUUGCUUAUGUUUAGUAAGGCAGAGAUCAUUUGUGCAAUAAUAUGCUAGAAAUAUGUGCAAACAAGAGGAUAAAUCAGGCUGAAAAGAACACCAAUAUUACGAUGAUAAUUUGUUAUUCUAGGAUGGCAGGCUCCGAGUGCUGCUUUAAUGUGCACAAUGAACAAUGGGACAACAACUUCUGAGUGGAUGAGAAGGGUUUUUAUGAGGAAAAAAGUAGAGCAGUGGAACCCUGAGGCUGAGAGAGAGAGAGAGAGGGGGGGGGGGGGUAGAGAGAGAGAGAGGUGAAGAGUGGGACCAUUUGUGGUGCUUUACCAUUGUUUAACACAAGAAAGGACACACUCAGAGUGAAGAACCAUACUGUACAGUCACUCACAGAAGCCACAUUCAAGUUUCAAAGUACUUUACAAUGAUCGUGCAGCUGGUUCCACUUUAUAUGUCCUCCUCAGGAUAUUCCAACAGAGACAGUAUUGGCCCAUUCUCCCCAGCCACACCCAAAACAAUUGAAGGCUUUAACACUCAAAAGAUGACUUGCUCUUCCUUCUCAUCUCAUCCACUUUUAUUUACAGGGAGCACGGGUGCAAUAGGGCAGGACCUCCAAAUCUUUAACUAUCUUAUUUAUGUUGUUUUCUUAGGUUCAACGUGUUGGCACCAACAGUGUUCAUCCAGUCAUGGACCUCGUCAUGAGAGCUCUUAGGGCAGAAUAUGCAACAAAGUAAUAGAUCAACUGGCCUGUAACAAGAUUCCCUAGUGAUAGCUGUUUCUCCUGGUUUGGCCUCUUUUCAAUAAGGCAAAAUAGCAGCUAUUGGUACAGUCCUUUUCUCUCAGAUGAACCAAGUACAGAUGACACUCUGGUCCCGCCAUGUUUUAAAAACAUAUGUAGCCCAUAGCAACAGCUAUACUGUUAUGUAGGACUUUUCUUUUAUUCUUGACAUUUUAUUAUUAUUCUGGCCAUGGUAAAUACUUAUAAAUGAAAGCCAGCUUAAGGCAUGAGUGGUAUCUCCUUCAAAAGUUAUUUUUUUUCUCAGGACUUGAAAAGUUGAUGGUGCCAAGUUCCAACUGAGAUUUCUUCAGUCAUUUUCAAACACACAUCAAAUUAGUACAUGAAUACAUGAGACUUUUCCACUUGGAGACUACCAGCUGGACCAUACUGUAUAUCUAUGACCUCUGCUGACUUAACUAUUGACCUAAGACCUUUGACCCAGGGAAGCAACAAUAGUUCCCUGUGAUGUUGAGAGUAUUUCCAAAUUUCCGUCACUGUACUGUCUACUGCUGUGCAUGGAAAUCUCUGUCAUCAAAAUAAGUUCAGUCGAUGAAACAUGAUGUAAUGGGGAGGUCACUUUGACACAUUAGAUCACUCCAUUUUAGAAGUCCCUAUAUCUUGGCUUUGGUGUCGAAAAUAGGGCCAUCACAGAGUAGGUCUACUAGUAUUACUGAACCCUACUAUAUCAGUAUAGCACUACAACAACCAUGUUAAUGACUUGGAGGAAGAGCUUUGAAUGGGAGUGUGAUGCCACUUUGGCAAAAUCCAUUAUGAUCCCUGAUGACAAAUUGACAUGGGGAUGAAGCACUGGGUCCAGCAUUUCACCAAGGGUCAAUGACACAGUAAACAGAUUCAAAUUCAGUAAUCAAGAACAACUCUGUAUGAUAAUAGAACAUUCACAAAUAGGCCUCAAGACAAAGAUUUACUUCCAAAAAAUGAAAAAUAGGAAAUCCAAACAUGUUAAUCUGUGUGUGUCGAUGUCUGGUAAUUGUGUGUGUUGUGAUAGUGGAGGAAAUGUUUUGUAUUCAAAUUGAAAAUAUAUACACGUACACUAGUGUUAGAAGAAGGAUCAUGCUUGGGCUGGUGUGCUAACUGAACACUAAUUUGGGCUUCGUUGGGAGGGAUGGCUAAUGAUCUGAAGAUAACUGUGUCCAUAUCAGUCAAACCUUUUUCAUGACUCCCUCCAUUACUCUUGGCAUUAGUCUGGAGCAUAGAUCCACCCUCUAUUCUUUGCCCCAAGGCUGCUCUGCUGGUAGCCCUGCCUACACAAUGAGACACACACAACGUCAGCCUGACUCUAUGCACAGCCAGAGGUCCUGAGGUCACAAACAUUCACAACCUUUGUCAACUUGAACACCACCUGGGACAAGGGCCGUCAUUGGCUGACACAUGGAAGUAGUAUACACGUCUGUCUGGCAGGAAAAGAGGCCUCUAUGACUUACAGCCCAUCUUAGACUGCACAAUACAAAAUGUAGACUUGACAUCGACACAGAUGCUUUCAGAUAUUCAAAGCCUGGGGAAUACAUGCAUUAAACUUAAUUCAUAGCUCUCAUUGAAAAGUAAUUAAUGUCUUUCCCAGUGGAGACAACUGUAUGAUUAGCAUUACUGAUGAAAAACUGUUGUGAACAUUUUUUGUUUUGUUUUGUGUCCUGUGCCUGUCUCUUUAAAUGUCUUGGAUUAAAAUGUCCUUGGCACGGUCAGUGUCUGAAAAAUGACCGAACUGCAACAAAUGUCUCUUUGUUCUCUCGCUAAUCCUUCUUGGAGUCUGAAGUCUAUGUCUUUGAAAACAUUCUUUAUUUUUGGUCAUGAUCCAUGUCUGUUCUAUGUGUUCUAUUACACUAUGUUCCACUAAAUGCAGACAGAACCCUUGACAGAGAGGUGCUGUAAUAAAAAAGUGCUUGAUCGUG